UGGUUUUUUUUUUUCAGUUGGUUUGUUUUUUUUUUUCCUUCCCCCAAUUCAUUUGAAAUCGUUUUUGGAGAAAAUCCAUUUGGCUGUAUUCAUGCCCAUGCAUUUCUAGUCAUUCACAGACAUGCUCACUCCCAUCGGACAUCGGAAAGAACAAAUGGCCAACAUACAGAAACACCUGGUAUACUCCAUACACACUCCAGCAACACAAGCUUGGAAAGAAACCCAGAGUCUUCACGGGAAAAGCACCCCACAAGGGCAAGCAUGGGGGAAUCAGAACAAACUGGCUGGUUUUAAGGCAGGAAUGUUUGUGGCAGCUCAUUUGACUGGGAUAGGUUGUCAUUUCAGCUGGCACCUCCCUGGCAGCAAUCCUCCCCAUGGAGGGGGGAAGUCCUCGAAGUUAAAAGAAACUAGAACAGCAAAGUCCAACAUGGAUUAGCUGUAAUUAAAAAUUGUCAGAGGUUUUGGUUCUUCAGCUGAAAAGUAAGCAUGUG